GACGUUAGUGAUUAAGGAGCUUCCCUAACUUUGAGGCAAAGGUAAUAAAGGUGGCAAACCGGCGAGGGGCAGGAAGGAAGCAUGAUGCCAUAGGAAAUAUGUUGUUUGCUUCCGCUUAUGGGUUCUUGUGAGGUUUAAGAUGAAUUGAAAUUUUGCUUACGAACGUUUAUUGUAAAUAGUAUUGUUUUAUGUUUUCUUGAAUGUUUGAAA